rnacentral:rRNA from 1 species
UACGUAGGGUCCGAGCGUUGUCCGGAAUUACUGGGCGUAAAGAGCUCGUAGGUGGUUUGUCGCGUUGUUCGUGAAAACUCACAGCUCAACUGUGGGCGUGCGGGCGAUACGGGCAGACUAGAGUACUGCAGGGGAGACUGGAAUUCCUGGUGUAGCGGUGGAAUGCGCAGAUAUCAGGAGGAACACCGAUGGCGAAGGCGGGACUCUGGGCCGAUACUGACGCUGAGGAGCGAAAGCGUGGGGAGCAAACAGG